AACGCACAUUGCGCCCGCCAGUAUUCUGGCGGGCAUGCCUGUCCGAGCGUCAUUUCAACCCUCGGGGCCCCUACGGCGGACCCGGCGUUGGGGAUCGGCCCUGCCCCGUGGCGGGCGCCGCCCCCGAAAUACAGUGGCGGUCUCGCCGCAGCCUCCUCUGCGCAGUAGUUCUCUCUGAAACCUCGCACCGGAAGCGCGGCGCGGCCACGCCGUUAAACCCCCAAAGCCUCCAAAAGGUUGACCUCGGAUCAGGUAGGAAUACCCGCUGAACUUAA
rnacentral:misc_RNA from 1 species